UACGUAGGUGGCAAGCGUUGUCCGGAUUUAUUGGGCGUAAAGCGCGCGCAGGCGGUUCGUUUAGUCCGAGGUGAAAUCUCCCGGCUCAACUGGGAGGGGUCUUCGGAUACUGGCGGACUUGAGGAGAGCAGAGGUGAGUGGAAUUCUCGGUGUAGUGGCGAAAUGCGUAGAUAUCGAGAGGAACACCAGUGGCGAAGGCGGCUCACUGGGCUCCACCUGACGCUGAGGCGCGAAAGCGUGGGGAGCGAACCGG
rnacentral:rRNA from 1 species